AUCGUAGCCACGACUCGCGGCAGCGAGAGG
rnacentral:sRNA from 1 species